CAUACAUCCACUCAUUUCCAUCUCCAGAUCCACCCAAAAUUAUUCUACUCCUAUCUAGGAGAGAAUAGCCAAAAACAUUAUCCUAUCCCUGUUAUUCCCCGUGAAAUAAAUGCUCGAGAUAUUUUGUUACUACCACUUGCUACAUUAUUCCAGGAGGGUGAGUGCUCUGAAGAAAAGUGAAUACGAGGAAAUAGAAAGGGGCAAGUGCCUGAAACCUUGAAGAAAAGAAAAAGUGAGACAAGAGGUAAAAAUGGACAAGUGUCCGUCAGUAGAAUUAGGGGUACAAGAUACCCACC
rnacentral:lncRNA from 1 species